CCACUAUUUCACAAGGUGUCACAAACUCACAAACUUUAGGACAGGUUCUAGAGAAAGACUCUUCAUGAAAUGUGUUGUGUGGCUAUGAGAUUACCUGAUCUAUUCUCUUCAGUUUUCCCCUCCAGCUGAAGUCUUUGCUCUGUGAGGGAACUCCUCUCUUGUUGAGGUAGAGCAAAAUGAGUCCUUUCAAUCCAGAAGGGCCUUAGCAUGGGUGAGCAGUGAGCUCUGAUGUUGCAGGUGGCCUUAGAAAGAAACACUUGCUGAUUCUGUAAGUACCAAGGCUGCAGCAUGUCAGAAGCUGUAUAUAAGUAGAGGAAAAAAUCACGGUGUACUUGCCUCGGCAAUUUCCCCUAGGCAUCAUUACUGAAGAUCCUCAGGGGCAGGAUAUGGGGCUGGAAGUGCUUUUGGCCAUGGCUGGUCCAGCCCUUUAUUGUGUUUUUGUUACCUGAUAGGUCUGAGCUUUCCUGCCUGCCUCAUCCUGCGACGUGGGCUUUGGUGGCAGAUCCUCUGCUGCACCUCAAGAUCCAUCCAGAAGGGUUGGAAGCCACCCUGCACCUUCUGUGGUCAUCUUCUGCUCAUUUCUGCAAGAGCAGAUGCAGCUGUACUUGGUCUUCCAUGCUCUUUGCUGACCUUCUAUCAGAAAAACAUUCCCUCUGAGGUGCUCGGGAGCUCAAGUGACUCCACUGAAACUCUGGCAUUUGUCACAGACAAAAUUGGGUCAGGAGAGAGCACAGAGGUACAGAACGGAAAAGAGAGAAAUUCAUCCUUAGGAAAAAAAAAAAAGUCUCAAGCUGCAAACUUGGGCUUAAUUUGUCUCCUCCACGUAAGACGGAUCUAACAACGCAGUCUGGGCUCCGUGCCAAAGGCUGGUAUUUCACAGCAGCGACCGCCUUACAGAUGAGCUGUGGGAAGCAGGAGGGAGACUCUCUUAGGGUGCCACUACUAUGGAGACACAGCUGGGCUGAACAAGAUUUGCUUCAAACGACAACAAGAGAGACAGAAAGUGUCUGGUUCGACCGCUGCCCAAGCAGGCAGUAACCAGAAGAGCUAGCAGCCAAUCCGGCCAUGCUGCACUGUUCGAAACCAGCUCUACAUCCCAGCCAAUCAGUGACAUCACUGGUGAGAAACUCAUUUACAUCAUGCAGUAAUGAACUUUGUUUAACGUAUCCUUUUUUCUUUUCUUUUUUUUUUUUUUUUUCCUCACAGAGAUU
rnacentral:lncRNA from 1 species